rnacentral:rRNA from 1 species
ACAGAGGGUGCAAGCGUUAAUCGGAAUUACUGGGCGUAAAGCGCGCGUAGGCGGUUUGUUAAGUUGGAUGUGAAAUCCCCGGGCUCAACCUGGGAAUGGCAUUGGAUACUGGCGACCUAGAGUGCGGUAGAGGGUAGCGGAAUUCCCGGUGUAGCAGUGAAAUGCGUAGAUAUCGGGAGGAACAUCCGUGGCGAAGGCGGCUACCUGGACCAGCACUGACACUGAGGCACGAAAGCGUGGGGAGCAAACAGGA